rnacentral:rRNA from 1 species
UACGUAGGGGGCAAGCGUUGUCCGGAUUUAUUGGGCGUAAAGAGCAUGUAGGCGGCUUGGUAGGUCCGCUGUGAAAACUCGAGGCUCAACCUCGAGAUGUCGGCGGAAACCACUUGGCUAGAGUCCGGAAGAGGAGAGUGGAAUUCCUGGUGUAGCGGUGAAAUGCGCAGAUAUCAGGAAGAACACCUAUGGCGAAGGCAGCUCUCUGGGACGGUACUGACGCUGAGACGCGAAAGCGUGGGGAGCGAACAGG